UUAGGUUGGCGCAAACGUAAUUGUGGUUUUUGCCAUUGAAAGUAAUGGCAAAAGUUGCAAUUACUUUUGCACUAACCUAAUA
rnacentral:miRNA from 1 species